rnacentral:lncRNA from 11 species
ACAAGUGAAACUAGUAACUUUUUGUCAAGAGAAAUGCCGGGAACAAGUUCAGCAGUGGAGAAAAAGGUGGCAAGGGGUGAUUUCAGAGACCCAUACAGAGCUUGUUCAGGCUUCUUGCUGAGCUGUAACAAACGUACUAAUCUAUACUAUGCAUAUACAAGAGGACGCAAAUGUUUGAGCAGUCUAUUUUUAAUUUUGUAA